rnacentral:rRNA from 1 species
CAGCAGCCGCGGUAAUACGUAGGUGGCAAGCGUUGUCCGGAAUUAUUGGGCGUAAAGGGCUCGCAGGCGGCUUCUUAAGUCUGAUGUGAAAGCCCCCGGCUCAACCGGGGAGGGUCAUUGGAAACUGGGAAACUUGAGUGCAGAAGAGGAGAGUGGAAUUCCACGUGUAGCGGUGGAAUGCGUAGAGAUGUGGAGGAACACCAGUGGCGAAGGCGACUCUCUGGUCUGUAACUGACGCUGAGGAGCGAAAGCGUGGGGAGCGAACAGGAUUAGAGACCCCCGUAGUCCCUGUCUCUUAUAC